CAGAGAUCAUGCCCUCACGGGUAGACCUCCCACCCUGUGUUACUUACGUUUGUUGCUUUGGCAGGUCGCCUUCGGGCACUCGGCUCUCGCUGAGGUGCACCUGCCAGAGGAUUCCCAACUCUGUAUUUAGUGUUGUCUGAGUACUAUAUAUAAUACGUUA
rnacentral:misc_RNA from 1 species